rnacentral:rRNA from 1 species
AGAUUGAACGCUGGCGGCAUGCUUUACACAUGCAAGUCGAACGGCAGCACGGGGGCAACCCUGGUGGCGAGUGGCGAACGGGUGAGUAAUGCAUCGGAACGUAUCUUUAAGUGGGGGAUAACGCAUCGAAAGAUGUGCUAAUACCGCAUAAUCUCUGAGGAGAAAAGCAGGGGAUCGCAAGACCUUGCGCUUUUGGAGCGGCCGAUGUCUGAUUAGCUAGUUGGUGGGGUAAGGCUUACCAAGGCUUCGAUCAGUGGCUGGUCUGAGAGGACGACCAGCCACACGUGGGACUGAGACGCCGGCCCAGACCUCCGUA